GCCGGGCUCGCCUAGCCAGGCAGGGCGCGGGCUUGCUAAGCCCGUACCCCGAAAGGGGUUCGGGGGUUCAAAUCCCCCGCCCGGCG
rnacentral:tRNA from 1 species